AAAAACCAUACACAGCUGGCUGAUACUAACAUUACAAAGAAGAACGUCGAAGUAACAACUUCAGCAGGUCAUCUAAUUCUCAAUAUGAAGACAUUCACCAUAGUGAUACUACUUGCGGGACUGCUCAUGGCAGGUCACGCCCAACAAGCCUCAGAGGAGGAAGACGCUCCCGUCAGACCGACGGUUGUACGAGACAGGAGCGCAGUCGAGAGUGCCAGUCCUGAAGCUAUAGCUAAAAUGAUUGCCGAUUUUAGGAGGGCUGUAGCUAGAAUGGGCCUGACUAUUGAUGAUCUGAUCGCUGAUUUAAACCUAUGAACAUUUUAAAUGAGAAUCAGCAAUGGUGUCAAGUGAGAAAUGUAAAGUCUAAAUUGAAGAAAGAACCCCAUAUUAACUACUUACAAUUUUUACAAAUAUAUUGAAAUAAUGACUUCGUUGACGUUUGUACAUCUAUAUGUCAAAUUUGAAAUUCAAAAUAAAAUACUGCUUUUACUG
rnacentral:misc_RNA from 1 species